UGCCCUAUGCUUAAAGUGUUAAUGAUCAAAGGUCGCAUCCAGCCUCCAGUCUGGAGGCUUCGUGAUCACCAUUAACUCCAGGAUAGUGAAGUGUAAGUAGAUGAGCCUACAAAGUGCGAGAAGAAUACGGAGAGCGCAAAAAAAAAGUAGAAAGAAAAUAACACGAAGCAGAGAAUUGGGAGCAUCAAUGGAAUGGUCUGUGCGUGAGAGAAGUCCGGUCAAGAAAAUCGGCGUCGCGGCAUACGCACGGGGGCGUCAGUGGAUUGCGAACAGCCGUCGCGACGCUCCAAAACUGUGCGAGCUACCAGAUGAUCAGUCGCGCUCGCGCUACCAAAACUUUUCCACCAAGUUCAUCCCGUCGUCGUGCAUCCCGACAAAAAAAAUACAUAAAAUGAAAUAACAAAAAAAAAAACUAUGGGAAUAUUUCAGUGUGAAUAAAUUGUAAACGUUUUGUGUGUACCAAUAGAAAAAAAGGAAAGUGUUGUUUGUUCAGUGUGUUUGUUUCCGUGGAGAUUUAAGUGAGCUAGGAUCAAAUCGAUAUCAAGGAUAGUCUUACAGAUAUAUUUUAUCCAGGAUAUCUUAAACUUCGGAUAAUCCGGUUUCAAACAGUCCGAGAUAUUGGCGGAA